UACAGAGGGUGCGAGCGUUAAUCGGAAUUACUGGGCGUAAAGCGCGCGUAGGCGGCUUUGCAAGUCGGGUGUGAAAUCCCCAGGCUUAACCUGGGAACUGCAUUCGAGACUGCAUUGCUAGAGUAUGGGAGAGGGAAGUGGAAUUUCCGGUGUAGCGGUGAAAUGCGUAGAUAUCUGGAGGAACACCGGUGGCGAAGGCGGCAUCCCUGGACCAACACUGACACUGAUGAGCGAAAGCCAGGGGAGCAAACGGG
rnacentral:rRNA from 1 species